rnacentral:rRNA from 1 species
AUGUUGUACGAUGCACGACAGUGUCGUUUCUUCGAGUUACAGCAAGCAUACUGCAGGAGGAUGACCCCUCACCAGAUCGCCACUACUCGGCGGCAAGCCAGGAUUAACCCAGCUGGCCAGGGAUCUGGUGUCUACCAGGGCAACGGGGUGGCUCAGAUGGUUCCUGUUGCCACCCAGGCCCAGAUCCAGGCGCAAGCUCCACACCAAGUGCAGACACCCCCGCCGGCGGCGAGCAACCUGAUUGCUGAAGCGGAUAGGCCGGCCGCCGUAGCCGGAGCCGUCCUUGCAGGACAGGGCCUCGUUGUUGUCUCUAUUCUCAUGGUAGCUGUCAACAUCAUGCUUACUGCUCUCGUUAUGGUGGUUGUUCUUGCUAAGUAG